UACGUAGGUGACAAGCGUUGUCCGGAUUUACUGGGCGUAAAGAGCGCGCAGGCGGUCGUUCAAGUCGCGUGUGAAAGCCCCCGGCUCAACUGGGGAGGGUCACGCGAUACUGGUCGACUCGAAGGCAGGAGAGGGUAGUGGAAUUCCCGGUGUAGUGGUGAAAUGCGUAGAUAUCGGGAGGAACACCAGUGGCGAAGGCGACUACCUGGCCUGUUUCUUGACGCUGAGGCGCGAAAGCUAGGGGAGCAAACGGG
rnacentral:rRNA from 1 species